UGGAUAACCUACCUAUAAGACUGGGAUACUUUCGGGAAACCGGAGCUAAUACCGGAUAACAUGUUGAACCGCAUGGUUCAACAGUGAAAGACGGUCUUGCUGUCACUUAUAGAUGGAUCCGCGCCGCAUUAGCUAGUUGGUAAGGUAACGGCUUACCAGGGCAACGAUGCGUAGCCGACCUGAGAGGGUGAUCGGCCACACUGGAACUGAGACACGGUCCAGACUCUUACGGGAGGCAGCAGUAGGGAAUCUUCCGCAAUGGGCGAAAGCCUGACGGAGCAACGCCGCGUGAGUGAUGAAGGUCUUCGGAUCGUAAAACUCUGUUAUUAGGGAAGAACAAAUGUGUAAGUAACUAUGCACGUCUUGACGGUACCUAAUCAGAAAGCCACGGCUAACUACGUGCCAGCAGCCGCGGUAAUACGUAGGUGGCAAGCGUUAUCCGGAAUUAUUGGGCGUAAAGCGCGCGUAGGCGGUUUUUUAAGUCUGAUGUGAAAGCCCACGGCUCAACCGUGGAGGGUCAUUGGAAACUGGAAAACUUGAGUGCAGAAGAGGAAAGUGGAAUUCCAUGUGUAGCGGUGAAAUGCGCAGAGAUAUGGAGGAACACCAGUGGCGAAGGCGACUUUCUGGUCUGUAACUGACGCUGAUGUGCGAAAGCGUGGGGAUCAAACAGGAUUAGAUACCCUGGUAGUCCACGCCGUAA
rnacentral:rRNA from 1 species